CUUAAUGGGCAUGUUCCAACUGUCACUUGGCGAAAAAAAAAAUCACUAAAGAUCAAUCUCUACAGCGGGUCUUUUGGCACAAAACUAGUUGUAUCAUUCUCUCCAACUGAGCCUUUGUUGGGGGGAAAAGGCCUUAUCAAAUUCCUUGGACAUGAAGUUACUGUUGGAACUAUUCUCAAACUGUGCUGUAUUGCGCCAUGGAAGGAUGUCCAGCGUUAAAAGAGUAUCCUUGAAGAUUAAUCAGAGACCUUUUCAUGCACCUAUAAAGGUAGGGAAAAGAACCUUUCUGGUUAUAAAAUAUGUUGUAUUUGUUUCAGCUUUGUUUCAAUAAUGUAUUUAUUGUGUCAGACACAGAUAGAAUUGAUGUUGCUUGUUCUGAAUAAUUAGAAAGUUUGUUGCAUCCGCUUGUUCACUAAACUUGAUAUCAUCCAACACAUAGUAUUUAAUCAUCAGUUUGAAUUUUUCUUCCAUACUAUUAUAUACUACUAUGGUUUAUUGUGUAUUAUUAUAGUUUAUGUUUUGCAGUAGACAGGAUUUACUUUCUUUUACAUUUUUAUAUUACUCUCUCCAUAAUUUUAGUAUGGUUUGGCAUACCACAUACAAUUUCUG
rnacentral:lncRNA from 1 species